rnacentral:rRNA from 1 species
UACGUAGGGGGCUAGCGUUGUCCGGAAUCAUUGGGCGUAAAGCGCGUGUAGGCGGCCCAGUAAGUCCGCUCUGAAAGCCCGAGGCUCAACCUCGGGAGGCGGGUGGAUACUGCUGGGCUCGAGUACGGAAGAGGCGAGUGGAAUUCCCGGUGUAGCGGUGAAAUGCGCAGAUAUCGGGAGGAACACCAAUGGCGAAGGCAGCUCGCUGGGACGUUACUGACGCUGAGACGCGAAAAGCGUGGGGAGCAAACAGG